UCAAGUGACUAAGUGCAUGUGGCGGAUGCCUUGGCGAUCACAGGCGAAGAAAGACGCGGCAGCCUGCGAAAAGCUGCGGGGAGCUGGCAAACGAGCUUUGAUCCGCAGAUAUCUGAAUGGGGGAACCCACACCGCAAGGUGUAUCCGUAGCUCAAUACAUAGGUUACGGAGGCGAACGAGGAGAACUGAAACAUCUAAGUAUCCUCAGGAAAAGAAAUCAACCGAGAUUCCGGCAGUAGCGGCGAGCGAACCCGGAGGAGCCCAGCUUUUGAUAGUACGAACUUUAGCCGAAAGGUCCUGGAAAGGCCUGCUAUAGUGGGUGAUAGCCCCGUAGGCGAAAGAGUUGGUACGGUACUAAGGAAGCGAGAAGUAGAGCGGGACACGUGGAAUCCUGUUCGAAGACGGGGGGACCAUCCUCCAAGGCUAAAUACUCGUGAUCGACCGAUAGUGAACCAGUACCGUGAGGGAAAGGCGAAAAGAACCCCGGGAGGGGAGUGAAAUAGAACCUGAAACCGCAUGCAUACAAACAGUAGGAGCCUCGUCAGAGGUGACUGCGUACCUUUUGCAUAAUGGGUCAGCGACUUACAUUCUGUGGCGAGCUUAACCGAAUAGGGGAGGCGCAGCGAAAGCGAGUUCGAAAUGAGCGUUCAGUCGCAGGGUGUAGACCCGAAACCAGAUGAGCUAUCCAUGGCCAGGUUGAAGGUGUGGUAACACACACUGGAGGACCGAACCGACUAGUGUUGCAAAAUUAGCGGAUGAGCUGUGGAUAGGGGUGAAAGGCCAAACAAAUCUGGAGAUAGCUGGUUCUCCCCGAAAACUAUUGAGGUAGUGCCUCGUGUGUCGCUCCAGGGGGUAGAGCACUGUUUUGGCUAGGGGGACAUGGAGUCUUACCAAACCAAGGCAAACUCCGAAUACCUGGAAGCGUAAGCACGGGAGACAGAGCACCGGGUGCUAACGUCCGGACUCAAAAGGGAAACAACCCAGACCGCCGGCUAAGGUCCCAAAUAACAGCUAAGUGGAAAACGAAGUGGAAAGGCCGUGACAACCAGGAAGUUGGCUUAGAAGCAGCCAUCCUUCAAAGAAAGCGUAAUAGCUCACUGGUCGAGUCCUUCUGCGCGGAAGAUGUAACGGGGCUAAGCUGUUAACCGAAGCCGCGGAUGCGCUGGUUAUCCAGUGCGUGGUAGGGGAGCGUUCUGUAAGUCUGCGAAGGCGGUUCGAGAGGACUGCUGGAGAUAUCAGAAGUGCGAAUGCUGACAUGAGUAACGUUAAAGCAGGUGAAAAGCCUGCUCGCCGUAAGCCCAAGGAUUCCUGCUCUACGUUCAUCGGAGCAGGGUGAGUCGGCUCCUAAGGUCAGGCCGAAAGGCGUAGCCGAUGGGAAUCAGGUUAAUAUUCCUGAACCUGCGUCAGAUGCGAUGGGGGGACGGAGCAUGGAAGAUCAUCCGGGUGUUGGAAGUCCCGGUUGUUUAGCGUAGGAGGUCUGCAGGCAAAUCCGCAGACGCAUCUCCAAGGCAAAGACACGUGCCGCCACGGCGGCGAAGUGAUCGGAAGUGCUUCCAAGAAAAGCCUCUAAGCCCCAGUCUGAUGCGGACCGUACCGCAAACCGACACUGGUGGGCGAGCUGAAUAUGCUCAGGCGCUUGAGAGAACUCGGGAGAAGGAACUCGGCAAAUUGACACCGUAACUUCGGAAGAAGGUGUGCCGUAGUACCGUGAGAGGAGAGACACCUUGAGCGGGAAACGGUCUCAGAGAAUAGGUGGCUGCGACUGUUUAUUAAAAACACAGCACUCUGCAAAGUCGAAAGACGACGUAUAGGGUGUGAUGCCUGCCCGGUGCUGGAAGAUUAAUUGAUGGGGUGAGAGCCCUUGAUCGAAGUCCCAGUAAACGGCGGCCGUAACAAUAACGGUCCUAAGGUAGCGAAAUUCCUUGUCGGGUAAGUUCCGACCUGCACGAAUGGCAUAACGAUGGCCACACUGUCUCCUCCCGAGACUCAGUGAAGUUGAAAUGUUUGUGAUGAUGCAAUCUACCCGCGGCUAGACGGGAAGACCCCAUGAACCUUUACUGCAGCUUUGCAUUGAACUGUGAACCGAUUUGUGUAGGAUAGGUGGGAGGCAGAGAAGAGGCCACGCCAGUGGUCUUGGAGCCGACCUUGAAAUACCACCCUGAUUUGUUUGCGGUUCUAACCACGGACAGUGAUCCUGUCUUGGGACCGUGCAUGGUAGGCAGUUUGACUGGGGCGGUCUCCUCCUAAAGGGUAACGGAGGAGUACGAAGGUACGCUAGGUACGGUCGGAAAUCGUGCUGAUAGUGCAAUGGCAAAAGCGUGCUUGACUGCGAGAGCAACAACUCGAGCAGAUGCGAAAGCAGGUCAUAGUGAUCCGGUGGCUCUGAAUGGAAGGGCCAUCGCUCAACGGAUAAAAGGUACUCCGGGGAUAACAGG
rnacentral:rRNA from 1 species